rnacentral:lncRNA from 1 species
ACAGCCACCUUUACUUAAAAAGCCAUGAAGUUGAAACUUGGCAACAUCUAAUGGUAGACCGGUUAAGUCUAUCAGUUCUCAUUUGUUGGUACAAUAUUCACCAUAUAAUAUACUAUAUUCACAGAGAAACUGAAAAAUUGUACAAUAUUUCAUGCUACAAAUUAUAAAGAACAUUAAUAGGUGCCAUCUCCGCGACGGAGGUUGGCAAUCAUCAUAGCUAUUUUAAUUUUUGAGGCAGAACCAUUCUCUCAGGUUCUUCAGCUAUGAAAUUCGUCUUCUUCCGAUGAAUCUUCAAAGAAGUAUAAGAAAAAUAAUGAUAAGGGCGAUAA